CAGGCUCCACUCCUGGUGGUGCCCUUCAGUCAAUUCCAGUAAGUUUCAGCCUUGCGACCAUACUCCCCCCGGAACCCAAAAACUUUGAUUUCUCAUAAGGUGCCGGUGGAGUCCUAAAUGGACGGUAUCUGAUCGUCUUCGAGCCCCCAACUUUCAUUCUUGAUUAAUGAAAACAUCCUUGGCAAAUGCUUGCGCAGUUGUUCGUCUUCCAUAAAUCCAAGAAUUUCACCUCUGACUAUGAAAUACGAAUGCCCCCGACUGUCCCUGUUAAUCAUUACUCCGAUCCCGAAGGCCAACAGAAUUUCACCUCUGACUAUGAAAUACGAAUGCCCCCGACUGGCCAUGCUAAUCAUUACUCCGAUCCCGAAGGCCAACAUAAUAGGACCGAAAUCCUAUAAUGUUAUCCCAUGCUAAUGUAUACAGAGCGUAGGCUUGUUUUGAGCACUCUAAUUUCUUUAAAGUAACAGCGCCGGAGGCACGACCCGGCCAAUUAAGGCCAAUUGCGCAUCGCCGGCAGAAGGGACGAGACGACCGGUGCACACCAAAGGCGGACCUGCCGGCCCAUCCCAAAGUCCAACUACGAGUUUUUUAACUGCAACAACUUAAAUAUAUGCUAUUGGAGCUGGAAUUACCGCGGCUGCUGGCACCAGACUUGCCCUCAACUGGAUCCUCGUUGAGGAUUUAGAUUGUACUCAUUCCAAUUACCAGACUCAUAAAGCCCGGUAUUGUUAUUUAUCGUUACUACCUCCCCUUGUCAGGAUUGGGUAAUUUGCGCGCCUGCUGCCUUCCUUGGAUGUGGUGGCCAUUUUUUAGGCUCCCUCUCCGGAAUCGAACCCUAAUUCUCCGUCACCCGUCACCACCAUGGUAGGUGUUACAGGGUCAAUUUUUCGCAAAAAUAGACACUGCACGGAAGAAGCUCACAGCCACUUCAGCCUUCACUUUUCGCACACACACACAGUCUGACUUAGGAUUUUUAGACUUUAGCCAAACUAAGAACACGCACAGAAUUUACGGGUACAACCCAACCUUUAUUAAUUUUCACAGAAUAUACAAAGGACACUCUUUUAUAGACUUGGCUCACAUAUGUAAUGCUACUUGCUUUCCCCACAGGCGGAGACAAUCUAUAUAAAGGGGCUGCCAAUGGCAGUUACAAAGGGACAGUUACAAAGGGGCAGUUUAUACCAUGUGCCAUGCAAAUGCCUUAGGUGGUCCCGGGCAGUUGCUACCAUGUCUUCUACUUUGUUGCCAACAGCCGAUGAUCUUAGAUCAUGUCUUCAACUUCCAGCACAUGUCCUUGACACCACUUAGUCACAUGCCAUGCACAAUGGCCUCUAGCCUUGCCCACGUAUUCUUUGUCUCCAGCCCCGCUUUGUCUUGGACCUUGCCUCGCCCUUAAUUCCAUAGCCACGCCCUGCUAUGAAUUAAGUCGUCCCACCGAUUCGCGCAAGCCUUUGCCCCGCUUUCCCUUGGACCUUGCCUCGCUUUAAAUUUCAUAGCCACGCUCCGCUAUGAAUCAAGUCGUCCCACUGAUCUGCGCAUACUUUGCCCGGCUUUGCCUUGGACCUUGCCUAGCCCUCAAUUUCAUAGCCACGCCUUUCUAUUAAUUAAGUUAUCCCACAGAUCCGCGCAUGCCUUUGUCAAGUGCCAUCCUUUGCCGCGCUUUGCCUUGGACCUUGCCUCGCCCUUAAUUUCAUAGCCAUACCCUGUUAUGAAUCAAGUCGUCCCACUGAUCCGCGCAUACCUUUGCCCGGCUUUGCCUUGGGCCUAGCCCUUAAUUUCAUAGCCACGCCUUGCUAUUAAUUAAGUCAUCCCAUAGGUUCAUGUAUGCCUUUGUCAAGUGCCAUGCUUCCAUUUGCCAUAGCUGAUGCCCACGAACCAGGGCCGCCUUGCCAACAUUCCAGCUGCCUUGUCUAGCUGCCUUGCCUAAGCCCAUCACUAACUUAGACACACACCCAGCCUUGUACAUUGCUUGUCAAUGCUUCAGCGAAGCCAUGUCAAGGGGUAAUGCACAAGCCCUCAACAUGAAUUUACCCAACAUCCGUCAAGUCAAUAUUUGGGGUCGUAACAAACCACCCCCACCAAUGGAACUCGACGCCCUCGUUGAGGUUAAUCUCAAGUAGCGCUCGAUUUGAUCUUCGAACGGACCACCAUAUUUCGCAACCUAGGUUUUAUCCAGCAAUACCAUGUUGCCACUGAUCCAGUACCGUCGCACAUUACCUUCCUUCGCAUGAUUCAUUGUCUUUAUGUACAAUGGAUCAUUCAUAGCAUCUGACUUGAAUUUAUCAACAAAAUCUAACUCAAGUCUCGUAGUGGAAUAAAAAGCAACAAAGACUUCCUCCUCAUGAGCCGAAUACCCUUGUCCUGCUUCAUUCAACUUUCUUAAUUCAAACGCCACAGGAUGACCUUCUUGAACUAGCACGCCUCCAACACCCUUGUUGGAUGUAUCAGUAUGCACUUCAAACAGUAACUAUUUCAUUCAACUUUCUUAAUUCAAAGGCCACAGGAUGACCUUCUUGAACCUGCACGCCUCCAAAAGCCUUGUUGGAUGUAUCAGUAUGCACUUCAAACAGUAACUCAAACUCAGCAAGCCGCAAGAUUGGUUCUGAGGCAAUGGCUUCUUUCGACACACCAAAUGCAGCCCAGCAUUUUCCCCUGAUAGGGGCGCAUAAGAUUGGUUCUGAGGCAAUGGCUUCUUUCGACACACCAAAUGCAGGUCACCAUUUUCCCAACCAAUUCCCUUUGACGUUCUUCUUCAACACAUACGUCAAAGGAACAACUUUCUUUGAGUAACCAAUCUGAUAAUAAUUAGCCAACCCAAGGAAAUAUCUCAAUUCUAUCAUAACUUUCGGCACCUGCCAUUCCGCAAUGACCUGCACCUUCUUCGGGUCCAUCCGCACCUUAUUCUGGCUCACCAAGUGCCCAUGAAAUUUGAUCUCCUGUCUAGAAAAUCAACACUUCUCAUACAGCUUGCACUCCCUCACCCAAGACAGCACUUUUAUAAAGUGUGACAUAUGUUCAUCCAAAUUCCGACCAUAAACAACAAUGUCGUCAAACUAGACAACGACAAAGUCAUCUAUGUACUCAUAUAGCCCAUCAUUCAUGAGGUUGAAAAAUUUAGUAGGGGCAGCUAUCCAUCCGACCGGCAUAACAAGCAAUUCAUAUGAGCCAUACCACGUAACAGAAGUAGUUUUAGACUCAUCACCUUCAGCUAUCCGUACCUGCCAAUAACCAGACCGUAUAUCCAUCUUCAUGAACCAGCAUGCCUUGCUCAAUUUCUCCCACAAUUCAGCCAACUCUUGCACCAACGCAACAUGAUAGUUAUUUUUCACCGUCAACUUUUUCAAUUAUGCCUUACUCAAUUUCUCCCGCAAUUCAGCCAACUCUUGCACCAACGGAACAUGAUAGUUGUUUUUCACCGUCACCUUGUUCAACGCCCUAUGCGAUUGAGUAGGAAGCAUCGAACCCGGCAUCAGCUCUAUCUUGUGAUCAAUAAUCCUCCGUGGUGGCAGUUUUUUAGGCAACUCUGAUGGCAUCACAUCAGCAAAAUCACUCAAAUUUUGAGCAACGUAGUCCGGCACUUUAACCUUAACAUCAGGCUUCACUUCAACCCCAGCAGCAAGGAAAGUCUCACCUCCCUUCAUCAACCCUUUUCCAACCAACAUGGCAGAAUUUAACGAGGCCUUACUUUGAAUUUCUUCUCCUCCAUAAGGAUAAACAGCUUUCACGAAACCAGGAGACAUAUCAUUCAUGGUCAUCACUCCGUUCAAGUGAGGCAUUGGAACAAUGUGAUGUUUCCGCAUGAAGCCAAUUCCGAGGACCACCUCAAAAACCAGGAGCCAUAUCAUUCAUGAUCAUCACUCCGUUCAAGUGAGGCACUGGAACAAAGUGAUGUUUCCGCAUGAAGUCAAUUCGGAGGAUCACCUCAAACUCUUCCAUUGGAAUCACCAUCAAAUUGACCUUCCCUUUCCAGUUCCCAACAGACAUAGGAACAUCAUAAGCCAUACCCACAAUGGCUUGUGCUUUGGUGUUCAGUCUAUAUGUAAGAGGGACAUUUCGAUACUCUCAAUCGAUACUUUGUUCCCAUAUGCAUGUGCUCUAUCAAUCACUCAUUUUAUGAUUUGUUGACUUAUAAAUCCCAAACCCCCAUGUCCCCCUAUGUGCUUGUGUUCUCUGGCUAGUUUGUGGGCAUGCCAGCAUCAUCUACUACUGUUGUGCAUGUCUAAACUUGACUCCUUUUGUGCAAUGCACCAAACUGGCAGUAAUAAGGGUGUGAGUAGCGCCAGUAUCUACCAUAGCUAUCACACUUCUAUCCCCAAUCAUCAUCUCGACGUGCAUCAACAAAGAAUAAGGGUUCGUCUCGUUACUUGUAGCAUUUAGCAACGAGUUAAAAUUUAACAAUUGCAAAGGAUUUACCAAGGCAGCAACAACUUCUUCGCCUUCUCCAUCCCGAUUACUUUCUGUAGCAAGCAAAGCAUUUACCCGCUCCCGAUUAGGACAGUCACUGGCAAGAUGAGGUCCUCCGCACGUCCAGCAACCAUCUGUUUUCCUAUUUGUGAUGCCUUUGUUUUGAACAGCCACAUCGACAACCUUGCCCUUCUCAACGACUUCCUCUCGAACUUCCUUCCUCCAUUCCCCUUUCUUCUCCACUCGUUUGUUAGGUUUUGAAGAAGGAGGAAUAUCUGAAAGAGUACAGGUGCUGCGAUAGUCCACCAAGAAAUCCGCUGCAGCCAUUGCACUUGGGAGAUGAAAGAGUACGGGUGCUGCGAUAGUCCACCAAUGAAUCCACUGCAGCCAUUGCACUUGGGAGAUCCUUCACAGUCUGUCUCCUAAGUUUAUUCUGCGCCCGUGCUUGCACUCCAGAAAUAAAGUUAUGCAAUUUAUCGUCCUCCGACAUGUUUUGAACAUCCAACAUUAAGGAAGGGAAUUCCUUAAUAUAUUCCCGAAUAGAUCCCGUUUGUCGCAAGCGAUUCAAAUGGUCUCUAGCAAGCCAAGAUGCAUUGCUAGGCAAGAAUUGGUCCUUCAUUUCUUUUCUGAGCUUCUCCCAUGUAUCAAUUUUCGGUCUGCCCGCACUUUCAUCGUCCACCAUACGAGUUCUCCACCACCAUUUAGCAUCUCCCGUUAGGUACAUGCUUGUAAUUGCGACCUUCUCCGCAUUUGGAACUUUGGCAGCAACAAAAUAUUUUUCCAUGUCCCACAGAAAAUUCUCCAAUUCUUUUGCACUACGCAUUCCACCAAACACCUUAGGAUCAGGAAUCUUUACCUUCGAGCGUUCUUCAUUGCCUUGGCUUGGAGCAGCCAAUGCCCGUCUAAGAACAUUGAUUUCGACCUUCAAGUUGUCGACCUCUUUCUUUAGGUCUUCAACUACGCCAUCCGUUGAUUCACAGCUUUGUUGGAUCCCAUCGGGAAACUAAUCUGCCCCAUCCUUUAGACGGUAAAUCUCUGUUAUAAGAUCUGCCAUAUCCAAAGGAUCAUCAGUCACGCCGAUUAGCGUCUCCAACCGUUGCACUCUAUCACGUAAGUCUGAAGUAGAUCCACCCGCCAUGAUUAAGAGUUACAACCAAAAAACUCUGAUACCAAUUGUUGCAGGGUCAAUUUUUUGAAAAAAUAGACAGUGCACGGCAGCAGCUCACAGCCACUUCAGCCUUCACUUUUCGCACACACACACAGUCUGACUUAGGAUUUUCAGACUUUAGCCAAACUAAGAAGACAUACAGAAUUUACGGGUAAAACCCAACCUUUAUUAAUUCUCGCAGAAUAUACAAAUGACACUCUUUUUAGACUUGGCUCACAUUGUAAAACCCAACCUUAUUAAUUCUCGAAGAAUAUACAAAGGACACUCUUUUUAGACUUGGCUCACAUAUGUAAUGCUAUUUGCCUUCUCCACAGGCAGGGAUACAAUCUAUAUAAAGGGGCUGCCAAUGGUAGUUACAAAGGGACAAUUACAAAGGGGCAGUUUCUACCAUGUGCCAUGCACAUGCCUAAGGUGGUUCCGGGCAGUUGCUACCAUGUCUUCCACUUUGUAGCCAACAUCCCAUGAUCUUAGAUCAUGUCUUCAACUUGCAGCACAUGUCCUUGACACCACUUAGUCUUAUGCCAUGCACGAUGGCCUCUAUCCUUGCCCACGUUUUCUUUGUCUCCAGCCCCGCUUUGCCUUGGACCUUGCCUCGUCCUUAAUUCCAUAGCCAUGCCCUGCUAUGAAUUAAGUCGUCCCACCGAUCCACGCAUGCCUUUUCCCCACUUUGCCUUGGAGUUUGCCUCGCCCUUAAUUUCAUGGCCACGCUCUGCUAUGAAUCAAGUCGUCCCACUGAUCCGCGCAUACCUUUGCCCGGCUUUUCCUUGGACCUUGCCUAGCCCUCAAUUUCAUUGCAACACCUUGCUAUAAAUUAAGUCGUCCCACAGAUCCACGCAUAUCUUUGUCAAGUGCCGUGCUUCCAUUUUCCAUAGCUAAUGCCCACGAACCAAGGCCGCCUUGCGUUCCUCCAGCUGCCUUGUCUAGCUGCUUUGCCUAAGCAAAUCACCAACUUAGACACACACCUAGCCUUGUACAUUGCUUGUCAAUGCUUCAACGAAGCCAUGUCAAGGGGCAAUGCACAAGCCCUCAACAUGAAUUUGACCGACAUACCCCAAGGCAAUAUUUGGAGUCGUAACAAACCACCCUACCAACUGAACUCGACGCCCUCGUCGAGGUUAAUCUCAAGUAGCCCUCGCCCGACAUCCGUCAAGCCAAUAUUUGGUCGUAACAGUAGGCCACUAUCCUAUCAUCGAAAGUUGAUAGGGCAAAAAUUUGAAUGAUGUGUCACCGGAACGAUGGCCGUGCGAUCCGUCGAGUUAUCAAGAAUCAUCGCAGCAAUGGGCAGAGCCGCGUCGACCUUUUAUCUAAUAAAUUCAUUCUUUCCAGAAGUCGGGGUUUGUUGCACGUAUUAGCUCUAGAAAUACUACAGUUAUCCGAGUAGUAGAUACCAUCAAACAAACUAAAACCGAUUUAAUGAGCCAUUCGCAGUUUCACAGUCUGAAUUUGUUCAUACUUACACAUGCAUGGCUUAAUCUUUGAGACAAGCAUAUGACUACUGGCAGGAUCAACCAGGUAGCAUUCCUCAUUGACGACGGCGUCGCAUGAGCGUGGCCGACCCAAAAGGGAACGCCAAGUCUAAGGCGAGCACGACCGUCAUUCGUAAGGAGCAUUCUUUGGGCAGAUAGAAGCCAAUGAAGGCCCCGUUCCCAUUGAGUUUACCGAAUCCGAGAGCCCGAGCAUGCUAAGUCGUGGACCAAGCCAUCGCAAGGCGAAGCCAGGACGACAUGGGACACAACUGUAGCUUUUGGUUCACCCCGCAUGUCGAAUGCGAGGGGCGAAAGGCGACCGAUUGUGCUUGAUAAUGCCUUGGCAUUAGGUAUGAAACACAGAAAACCGACGUUGAACAAGCCUAAUUUGCACUUGUGACAUGACUGAAUUGCCUUGGCUUGGAGCAGCCAAUGCCCGUCUAAGAACAUUGAUUUCGACCUUCAAGUUGUCGACCUCUUUCUUUAGGUCUUCAACUACGCCAUCCGUUGAUUCACAGCUUUGUUGGAUCCCAUCGGGAAACUAAUCUGCCCCAUCCUUUAGACGGUAAAUCUCUGUUAUAAGAUCUGCCAUAUCCAAAGGAUCAUCAGUCACGCCGAUUAGCGUCUCCAACCGUUGCACUCUAUCACGUAAGUCUGAAGUAGAUCCACCCGCGAACAAUUCCAGACACAACCCACAACAACCGGUGGCAAUCGGCAACUUAGUAAGUUUCACCCCGUGCGCACGGCACCUUGCGCCGCUACUUGCACGAUGCUUUUCCAUUUUGUUGCCAAAAGCCAUCAGCCGCCACAAGCGAUGUCGCCUCCCGGUGUUGCCCGCAACAACCGAUGGCAAUCAGCAACUUAUUAAGCUUCGCCUCGUUCGCACGGCACCUUGCGACGCUACUUGCACGAUGCUUUGCCAUAUUGUUUCCAAAAGCCAUCAGCUGCCACGAGCAAUGUCGCCUCCCAAUGUUUCCCGCAACAACCGAUGGCAAUGAACAUCUAUUGAGCUUCGCCCCGUGCGCACGGCACCUUGCGACGAUACUUGCACGAUGCUCCGCUGUUCAUUGUCAAAAUCCAUAAGCCACCAUGUAAGGGGGUUUAUAGACACAAACCAGAACAAUCGAUGGCAAUAGACAACUUACAAAGCUUCGCCCCAUGUGCACGGCAUCUUGCGGAGCUACUUGCACGACGCUCCACCGUUACAUUGCCGAAAGCCAUCAACCGCCAUGAGUGAUGUUGCCCGCAACAACCGAUGGCAAUCGCCAUCUACUGAGCUUUGCCCCAUGCGCAUGGCACCUUGCGGGGCUAGUUGCACGAUGCUACGCCGUUCGUUGUCGAAAGCCAUCAGCCACCACAAGAGAUUCCAGACACAACCCACAACAACCGAUGGCAAUCAACAACAACUUACUAAGCUUCGCCCCAUGCGCCCGUCACCUUGCGGCGCUACUUGCACGAUGCUUUGUUGUUCUGUUGUCAAAAUCCAUCAGCCGCCACGAGCGAUGUCGCCUCCUGAUUUUGCCCGCAACAUCCAAUGGUGAUCAACACUACGAAGCUUCACCCCAUGCGCACGGCACCUUGCGGCGCUACUUGCAUGACGCUCCACCGUUCAUUGCCAAAUGCCAAUGUUUUCCAUGAGCGGUGCCACCACCAGGCGUACUACAAUCCCACACGAGUACUUGCCGGCACGGUUUGGGGACAUCGAGGACGUAGUACAGACAAUUCGUGCAUGCUCCCAAUGCCCACGCCCCAUGCCAGCGUCCCCCAUGCAUGCCCACCCCUUCAUGGUAGCAAGCAUCUGAGGUGCCUCUCAACACCUCUGCCCCCUUAUAUAUACUUAAAAACAACCCAAGUUUUAGGAGUAGACAUGUUUUGGCCAGAGAAUUAUAAUAGACAUGUACAACACCAAAUAGCACAAACAAAAGUAUAACUUGGCUAAGAUAUUCACAAACGACUUUUAAACAUUGUAAAUGAUAUUUUUAACGAAAAAUUAAUAUUUUUUUGAAAUACUUAUAUUCAAAAACGAAAAAUACUUAAUAAAAUACUAAAAAAUAUGAAAAUUAUUAUAAAAAUAGAAAUAUUUUUAUUUAAAAACGAAAAAUACUUAAUAAAAUACUAAAAAAUAUGAAAACUAUUAUAAAAAUAGAAAAAAAUGAUGGAGAAAAAUUCCAAUACAUCUUGUAAUAGUAUUACUUAUAAAAGAGUAAAUAUUUUUAUUGAAAAAGUGACAUAAAAAUAAUUUAAAAUAACAAAAAAAUGCAUAAAAAUUACUAAAAAAUAUAUUAAAAAAAAAGAAAAAAUACAUAAUAUUAUUAUAAAAGCGUAUAGAUGACAAACCGCCAAUAAGAACGAGGCACCUCCAUUGUCGCAACCACAACAAGUGAUUCCGAUUUGAAAAAAGCGCCGCCAACCACAAAGCGUCGACCAACCGUCGCCGGUGGAUACAGCUUGAGCCACCGCAACAUUCCACCACCACCACAAACGACCACCAACAUCAUUGCGAUUGACGUGUUGCCCAACCACAACAAGUGAUUAGGAUUUGAAGAAACCGCCACCAACCACCAAGCGUCACACGUACCAUGGCCAUGGCCUGACACGUCCUGACACGUACCAUGACCAUAUCCUACCAUGUCUUGCGACGUCCUGACACGUACCAUGGCCGUGGCCUGACACGUCACGACACAUACCAUGACCAUAUCCUGCCAUGUCCUGCGACGUCCUGAAACGUGCCAUGCCCACGUCCUGAAGCGUCCUGACACGUAGCAUGUCCAUAUCAUGCCAUGUCUUGCGACGUCCUGACUCGUGCCAUGACCACGCCCUACCACGUCCUGACGCAUGCCAUGGCCAUGUCCUGCAACGUCCUGACGUGUGCCAUGGCCACGCCCUUCCAGGUCCUGAUGCGUUCCAUUGCCAUGUCCUGACGCGUCCUGAGACGUACCAUGGCCAUAUCCUGCCAUGUCCU
rnacentral:lncRNA from 1 species